rnacentral:rRNA from 1 species
UACGUAGGGGCCUAGCGUUGUCCGGAUUUAUUGGGCGUAAAGAGCUCGUAGGCGGUUUGGUAAGUCGGGUGUGAAAUCUCCACGUUCAACGUGGAGGGGCCACCCGAUACUGCCAUGACUGGAGUCCGGUAGGGGAGUGUGGAAUUCCCGGUGUAGCGGUGAAAUGCGCAGAUAUCGGGAGGAACACCAGUAGCGAAGGCGGCCACCUGGCCCGAUACUGACGCUGAGGCACGAAAGCGUGGGGAGCAAACAGG